GAUGAACGCUGGCGGCGUGCCUAAUACAUGCAAGUCGAGCGAACGGACGAGAAGCUUGUUUCUCUGAUGUUAUCGGCGGACGGGUGAGUCACACGUGGACAACCUCCCUAUACGACUGGGAUAACUUCGGGACACUGGAGCUAACCCCGGAUAAUAUUUUGAACCGCAUGGUUCAAAAGUGAAAGACGGUUUUGCUGUCACUACUAGAUGGAUCCGCGCUGCAUUAGCUAGUUGGUAAGGUAACGGCUUACCAAGGCAAAGCUGCAUAGCCGACCUGAGAGGGUGAUCGGCCACACUGGAACUGAGACACGGUCCAGACUCCUACGGGAGGCAGCAGUAGGGAAUCUUCCGCAAUGGGCGAAAGCCUGACGGAGCAACGCCGCGUGAGUGAUGAAGGUCUUCGGAUCGUAAAACUCUGUUAUUAGGGAAGAACAUAUGUGUAAGUAACUGUGCACAUCUUGACGGUACCUAAUCAGAAAGCCACGGCUAACUACGUG
rnacentral:rRNA from 1 species